rnacentral:RNase_P_RNA from 1 species
AGGGCCGGGCGGGCGGCCGCCCUCGCGAGAGGGAGGAAAGUCCGGGCACCGAAGGGCAGGGCGCCGGGCAAUUCCCGGCACCGGUGACGGUGAGAAAGUGCCACAGAAAGGACACCGCCGCCCCCUGCGGGACGGCAAGGGUGAAAAGGUGGGGUAAGAGCCCACCGGGCCGCGGGCAACCGCGGUCGCAAGGCAAACCUCGCCCGGUGCAAGGCCAAAUAGGGAGGGAGUUCCGAGAGGAACGGGGGGUUGCCCGCUCCCCCACACCUCCGGGUCGGCCGCUGGAGGUCCGGGGUGACCCGGAUCCUAGAUGGAUGGCCGCCGCUCCGUUCCAUCGGGAGCGGAGUACAGAACCCGGCUUACAGCCCGGCCCCGCCG